rnacentral:rRNA from 1 species
UUAAGCAUAUAACUAAGCGGAGGAAAAGAAACUAACCAGGAUUCCCUCAGUAAGGGCGACUGAAGCGGGAAGUGCUCAGGAUGUGAAUCUGCGCUGUUGUCAGCGCCGAAUUGUGGUCUGUAGACUGUGGCAUUACUGGCCGGGCCAAGUCCCUUGGAACAGGGCAGCUGAGAGGGUGAGACUCCCGUACGCCUGGCUGGGUGAGCUACUUGUCAACGAGUCGAGUUGUUUGGGAUUGCAGCUCAAAGCGGGUGGUAAAUUCCAUCUAAAGCUAAAUAUUGGUGGGAGACCGAUAGCGUACAAGUACCGUGAGGGAAAGAUGCAAAGAACUUUGAAAAGAGAGUUAAAGAGUACCUGAAAUUGCUGAAAGGGAAGCGAAGGAAACCAGUGUCGGCUUGGAUAUACUUCCCUGUCCGCUUGCGGAUUGGGCGCUGUGUCCGGCCUGUGUUGUUGUUGGUUGGUCGUGGUGGAAGAGCGCGUGGAGAGUUGAUCCCCGUUGCUAGCACCGUGAGUGACUGAGAAGGACGAAAUGGUUUUCUUUACCCCGUCUUGAAACACG